rnacentral:rRNA from 1 species
UACGUAGGGGGGCGAGCGUUGUCCGGAUUUAUUGGGCGUAAAGAGCGUGUAGGCGGCCAGGUAGGUCUGCUGUGAAAACUCGAGGCUCAACCUCGAGACGUCGGCGGAAACCAUCUGGCUAGAGUCCGGAAGAGGAGAGUGGAAUUCCUGGUGUAGCGGUGAAAUGCGCAGAUAUCAGGAAGAACACCCGUGGCGAAGGCGGCUCUCUGGGACGGUACUGACGCUGAGACGCGAAAGCGUGGGGGAGC